UACGUAGGGUGCGAGCGUUUGUCCGGAAUUAUUGGGCGUAAAGGGCUCGUAGGCGGUUUGUCGCGUCGGGAGUGAAAACACCGGGCUUAACUCGGUGCUGGCUUUCGAUACGGGCAGACUAGAGGUAUGCAGGGGAGAACGGAAUUCCUGGUGUAGCGGUGAAAUGCGCAGAUAUCAGGAGGAACACCGGUGGCGAAGGCGGUUCUCUGGGCAUGUCCUGACGCUGAGGAGCGAAAGUGUGGGGAGCGAACAGG
rnacentral:rRNA from 1 species